rnacentral:rRNA from 1 species
GGCUUAACACAUGCAAGUCGAGGGGUAACAGGGUGCUUGCACCGCUGACGACCGGCGCACGGGUGCGUAACGCGUAUAGAACCUACCUUUUACAGAGGGAUAGCCUUUAGAAAUGAAGAUUAAUACCUUAUAGUAUUGAGUCUUGGCAUCAAGACUUAAUUAAAGAUUUAUCGGUAAAAGAUGGCUAUGCGUCCUAUUAGUUAGAUGGUAAGGUAACGGCUUACCAUGACAUCGAUAGGUAGGGGUCCUGAGAGGGAGAUCCCCCACACUGGUACUGAGACACGGACCAGACUCCUACGGGAGGCAGCAGUGAGGAAUAUUGGGCAAUGGAGGCAACUCUGACCCAGCCAUGCCGCGUGCAGGAAGACGGCCCUAUGGGUUGUAAACUGCUUUUAUACAGGAAGAAACACUGCUACGUGUAGCAGCUUGACGGUACUGUAAGAAUAAGGACCGGCUAACUCCGUGCCAGCAGCCGCGGUAAUACGGAGGGUCCGAGCGUUAUCCGGAAUCAUUGGGUUUAAAGGGUCCGCAGGCGGUCAAUUAAGUCAGAGGUGAAAUACCAUAGCUCAACUAUGGAACUGCCUUUGAUACUGGUUGACUUGAGUCAUAUGGAAGUAGAUAGAAUGUGUAGUGUAGCGGUGAAAUGCAUAGAUAUUACACAGAAUACCGAUUGCGAAGGCAGUCUACUACGUAUGUACUGACGCUGAGGGACGAAAGCGUGGGGAGCGAACAGGAUUAGAUACCCUGGUAGUCCACGCCGUAAACGAUGGAUACUAGUUGUUGGGCAUUAGCUCAGUGACUAAGCGAAAGUGAUAAGUAUCCCACC